AAAAGUCACUGGUGUGUUUUCAAUUGCCGUGAGGUUGGUUGACGGGAAGCCCUCAUAUGCCGAAUCUUCAUAAAAUAAUGUCAUCUCUGUACGUCUCUGAACAAGCAGGAUUUCAAACAGCAUAACAAGCCGGAUGCGAGACCCGCUAUCCAGACCGCAGCAGAGCAGACAGCUUUAUAUCUGAGAAGUCUGAACUUCAGAAAGGUUACAGGAUGAACCACCGCCAGAUAUUUUAUUGUCCAUUUAUUUUAAAUGGAUAGCGCACCUGUCCUAAAAAAGUCACAUGGGGAGCUUCAACAAAAGAACCACAGUUUUCCAACCCGGUGGAGAUAAAGAACAGGCUGCACAAAACUAGACAGAUUGAAACACAUGAAGGAUUCUUCAGAGCCCAGAGAACAGACACACAGCAGAAGAGGUUUACGGAAAGAAAGAGUAAAAACUGAAGGACAUAAAAACACAUAUAUGCAUUGAAAUGGUCGACUGCAGUAAACAUACAAAACAAGCAGGAGAUGAGAGUCGUAAACCACACAGCAGCAGAACAGUAUAAUUUAUAUCUGAGAGGUUUGUACUUCAGAAAGGUUACAGGAUGAACCACCGCCAGGUAACGCUCAACACAGAUCAGACACUGAAACAGAGGACGACCGGUGAUGGUAAAUCCUAUUGUACAGAUACUAAAUAUAUAUACUUCUGGAAAUCUUGUAGCCAAAAAAAUCAUGAAAUAAUCCACACAAAUAAUCAUCUCACAAAUAGAAAGGUUGAAGUUUAGAAACUCAGACAUAAUUCUUCUUUCUGUCACAAUAAGCCACAGGACAUAGCCGUGUGUCGGAGGCCCAAACAGGAUACUGAAACACAGCACAGAAGUCCUGAAACUGUACAAUUGAAAGUCAAGCGACGUAACGUUGAGAUGCGGAUUCAGAUUAGGAAUGGAGGAGUUCUCAAAUCCAGUCAUCUUCUCAGUGUAUAUCCAUUCACUUUCAAAGAAAAGCAAACAUGGGUCUAACAUGAUAUACUUAAAACAAACAAUCAUAUAUAUCCCAACCAAACAAUGACAACUAAUGAUUAUUGACAAAACAAAAAAGGUUCAUAAAAACGUUCAGUGUUUUGCGUUUUUCUCAGACAAAGCUUUGAAAAUGUUCUUAAAGUAGUACAGAAGUAACAUAAUAUCCCUGCUGAAAAAAACUAUAGAAAAUAAUACAGACAUUCCAAUAGUUUCUAUACAAAUACUAUUGCAACCAUUAGGCUGUCAAUUAGCUACUAUGUUUUUGAGACAUAUUCCAUUAGGAUUUAUUAGUUAUGGGUUUUAACAAACCACCAGUAGAAGGUGACAAAUUACCAGUAGAGAUCAAUAAUCACAGUUUUAAUAAUUAGUUUCCAUUGAAACCAAAAAAUGUAUUAUAAUUUGCUAAAUUCUGCAAUUAAGUCUAUUUGUUUGGGGGUUUUUCUGCAAUUAGAAUGGGUUGAAAAUCAACAACCAACAAUGCAAUAACAUGUCUAGUUAUUAAUUACUAGGUACAAAAGAUUGCAAUGCGAAAUGCUAAACAAAUACAAUAACAGAUUAUAAAGAUAGAAUUUAUCUUCACCCGUAAAGUGAAUUUCCAGACAAUCCAGAUGAAGACGUUUUGUAGACUGACUACACAGCUGUCAUAUAUGACAUUUAUGUACCUAGCAUGACAUAAACAACAGAGAUGCAAAUAAGACGGAUCAUAUAUCACAGCUGGAAAUGUAUGGGAGGUAUAUUCCAAUUAAAUAUUGGUUAAAAGAACAUUUGGUUACACUUUAUUUUAAGGUGUCGUAAUACCUAAUUAGGUACUUAGUAAUAGCCAUUGCAAGUACAUGAAAAAUAAUAUGUACUUAUCAUGUUACUAAGUUAUGAAACAACCCAUAAUUACAGUUUGUAAUUAUGUAGAUGUAACAGGCAGCUACACGUAUGUAACAUACUGUUACACAACUACUUACACUUAUGUACAAUCUUGAUAUACUUGAUAUACUUUCUUUUAAGUAGCUUAUGCCUGCAUAAUAUUCUGUAAUUUUUUGUUAGAUUUUUCAUUUUUAAUUAGAUUUACCCUAUAUUUAAGCUGUAUACUAAUGGGUUAAAUCAAACUAAGGUGCAACUUAAGUACUUAUUUCAGUUUACUCGAAUUAUAAGUCUGCAACACAUAUUUGACAAUCAUUUGGCUACAUAAGUAGCUGUACAACAGACAUAUUCUCUGUAACGAUAGCAACUUAUUACAUAAUUACAGACUGUGUGUACAAAUUGUUGUCUCACCCUUUAAAAUGGGCCGUAACAUAUACAUACAUACAC